rnacentral:rRNA from 1 species
GACGAACGCUGGCGGCGUGCUUAACACAUGCAAGUCGAACGGAAAGGCCCUGCUUUUGUGGGGUGCUCGAUUGGCGAACGGGUGAGUAACACGUGAGUAACCUGCCCUUGACUUUGUGAUAACUUCAGGAAACUGGGGCUAAUACCGGAUAGGAGCUCCUGCUGCAUGGGGGGGGUUGGAAAGUUUCGGCGGUUGGGGAUCGACUCGCGGCUUAUCAGCUUGUUGGUGGGGUAGGUGCUUACCAAGGCUUUGACGGGUAGCCGGCCUGAGAGGGUGGCCGGCCACAUUGCGACUGAGAGACGGACCAGAAUCGUACGGGAGGCAGCAGUGGGGAGUCUUGCACAAUGAGCGGAAGUCUGAUGCAGAAACGCCGCGUGCGGGAUGACGGCUUUCGGGUUGUAAACAGCUUUGGACUGUGCCGAAGCGUGAGUGACGGUAAUGGGUAAGGAAGCAACGGCUAACUACGUG